AGAGCUUUUGGGACGGCAGUGCUGAGAGGACGUGCUGCUUCCAGCGCUCAUCUGUUGCCAACAUGGCAAGAGGAAAGGCUCGACGCGCCAGGCGCCCGAAGGCAUCUGAGCGCUCCGCUGCGAGCGAGGCUGUUGGUGAGGCCCGUCAGCGCCGCGUAGAAGAGGCAGCAGCAAUGAGUCAAAGGCUCCGUGUGCUGCUGGCGUUGUGGAUGGCAUUUUCAGUACAAGCUCUUGCCUCCGCUGGCCAGCUCUGCAGAACGUGGCGUGACAAAGCCACGGGAAUGGCACGCAAGCUGGCUGCUGCUGCUUCAGGGCACAAGAAGAUGCUUUUCAGGCUGUCCAUCAUAGUGCUCCUGGUGACUUUGGCCAUGGUGAAUGUGUGUGUCUUCAAGACUUGCUGGGCAGCUAGGAGAAUUUGGGAAGACAGCACGGCACAGGAGAUCGAGAGACUCCAACAGGCAGCGUCUGAGCUGAGAGCGCAGCGGGACUGCUACCAGACACCUGACUGGGCGCUGCAAAGCUUUGGUGCCACCAUCGACACGCGGAGAACUUCUCCUAUUUACGAGCUGAGGAGCUGGUUUAGCAGACACUGCUUCUGGUGCUCUGUGAACCCUCCGGAUACCAUAUUGCAGCCGGGUGUCUCCCUUGGAGAAUGCUGGCCCAUGGAAGGACAGCAGGGCCAGGUGGUCAUCAGGCUGCGUGCCAAAAUCCGGCCCUCUUGUGUCACUCUGGAGCACAUCACCCCGGAGAUGACUCCGAGCGGCACAGCCAGCAGUGCCCCCAGGGAUGUCGCUGUCUUUGGACUGGAUGCGGACAGCGAAGAGGAGGUUCCCCUUGUGUCAUUCACCUUUGAUGUGGGGGAAGGGCCCACGCAGACCUUCUUGCUAAAGAAUAAUCAUUCCAGAGCCUUUCGCUACAUCAAGGUUCUGGUGAAGAGCAACUGGGGACACCCCCGUUACACCUGCCUUUACCGGGUGCAGGUGCACGGAAAGGUGGUGAAAACAGAAGACCAUAGAACCGCAGAGUCAUUGAAUGGCUAAGGCUGGAAAAGACCCACAGGAUCAUGCGAUGCAACCAGUCACCCGUCACCAGCGGUUCUCAUGAAACCAAGCUCUGCGCCGGGCUCGCCGCUGCUCCCCUGACAGCAACGCGGCGAGCGCUCGUCGCAACGGCGGGGCUGAGGCACAAAGCCAGGCGGAGGGGCCGCAGGCUUUCUGGGCUGACACGGGCAGCCACAUGGACCUCCAAGGAG